UACGUAGGGGGCUAGCGUUGUCCGGAAUCAUUGGGCGUAAAGAGCGUGUAGGCGGUUCGGCAAGUCUGCUGUGAAAGUCCAGGGCUCAACCCUGGAAUGCCAGUGGAAACUGCCGAGCUAGAGUCCGGAAGAGGCGAGUGGAAUUCCUGGUGUAGCGGUGAAAUGCGCAGAUAUCAGGAGGAACACCAAUGGCGAAAGCAGCUCGCUGGGACGGUACCGACGCUGAGACGCGAAAGCGUGGGGAGCAAACAGG
rnacentral:rRNA from 1 species